ACACACACCGGCGUACUGGAACCUCUCUCGCGAUCCCGCACCCAGCUUGAAUUCAGCAAGAAUCGAAAACAGGGGCGGUUCGAAGAUGGCCGAAUAGGAACAGCUCCAGUCUGCAGCUCCCAGCUUGAGCGACACAGAAGACGGGUGAUUCCUGCAUUUCCAACUGAGGUACUGGGUUCAUCUCACUGGGGCUUGUCAGACAGUGGGGGCAGGACAAUGGGUGCAGCCCACCGAGGGUGAGCCAAAGCAGGGCAAGGCAUCACCUCACCCGGGAAGUGCAAGGGGUCAGGGAAUUCCCUUUCCCAGCCAAGGGAAGCAGUGACGGAAAGCACCAGGAAAAUCAGGUCACUCCCACCCUAAUAUGCGCUUUUCCAAUGGUCUUAGCAAAUGGCACAUCAGGAGAUUAUAUCCCACGCCUGGCUCCCAGGGUCCCACGCCCAUGGAGCCUCGCUCAUUGCUAGCACACCAGUCUGAGAUCAAACUGCAAGGCGGCAGCGAGGCUGGGGGAGGGGCGCUUGCCAUUGCUGAGGCUUCAGUAGGUAAACAAAGCGGCCCAGAAGCUGGAACUGGGUGGAGCCCACAGCAGCUCAAGGAGGCCUGCCUGCCUUUGUAGACUCCACCUCUGGGGGCAGGGCAUAGCCAAACAAAAGGCAGCAGAAACCUCUGCAGACUUAAAUGUCCCUGUCUGACAGCUUUGAAGUGAGUAGUGGCUCUCCCAGCACGGAGUUUGAGAUCUGAGAAUGGACAGACUGCCUCCUCAAGUGGGUCCCUGACCCCCGAGUAGCCUAACUGGGAGGCACCCUCCAGUAGGGGCAGACUGACACCUCACACAGCCGGGUACACCUCUGAGACAAAGCUUCCAGAGGAACGAUCAGGCAGCAACAUUUGCUGUUCAGCAAUAUUCACUGUUCUCCAGCCUCCUCUGCUGAUACCCAGGCAAACAGGGUUUGGAGUGAACCUCCAGCAAACUCCAACAGACCUGCAGCUAACUGUCCUGACUGUUAGAAGGAAAACUAACAAACAGAAAGGACAUCCACACCAAAACGCCAUCUGUACGUCACCAUCAUCAAAGACCAAAGGUAGAUAGAACCACAAAGAUGGGGAAAAAACAGAGCAGAAAAGCUGAAAAUUCUAAAACUCGGAGCACCUCUCCCCCUCCAAAGGAAUGCAGCUCCUCACCAGCAAUGGAACAAAGCUGGAUGGAGAAUGAGUUUGACGAGUUGAGAGAAGAAGGCUUCAGAUGAUCAAACUUCUCCAAGCUAAAGGAGGAAUUUCGAACCCAUCGCAAAGAAGCUAAAAACCUUGAGAAAAGAUUAGACAAA
rnacentral:lncRNA from 10 species